rnacentral:lncRNA from 1 species
ACUAGUUGCUGACGAUCCCCGAGCCUGUAGCUUCCAAAUGAGAUCUAUAAAACAGAAGAAACAAAGUAAACGGAGUAAGCAUUACAAUGCUUAGUAAGUUUUAAGCAGUGUCAACAGAUAACAAUCAAAUUAUAACAUAGUUGUUCGUAUUUUUAUUUCACUCUUCCUUCGGGCAUACAAUCCCUUUACCGAAUAUGCACAUCUCAUCAUAUAUAAUAGGCAGAUAAAUUCUC